AACCUAGGUACUGAAAGUAUGUGAAGAGUUGUUACAAUGGGCAGUCACUGCCACCUCAGCCUCAGCUGCCGAGCUUUUGGCUAAGUACAGGAUCCACCAACAGAAUCCCAUCCUGAAGGGAAGCCAUUGCAGGGACUUCGGCAGGGACCUGAAGCACAGACCCUGGAUGGAGGUUCUUGCUGCCUUCCUUUUCCCGGCUCGCUCAGUUUCCUCUCUUAUACAAUCCUGCCCCACCUGCCUAGGGAUAGCUCCACCCAUUGGCCUGGACCCUGGCACGUUAACUAGCAAUCAAGAAAACGCCUCACAGACGUGGCCAUGGGCCAACUGGACUAGGCAGUUCUUCAGCUGAGGUUCUUCCCAGGCGACUCCAGAUUUCAGACCUUUAAGUGUGCUUUGUGCUGAGACAUGGAUCAUCAGAACCAGAUUGGGGACAACUUUGAAGUUUUCAAAGGGUUCUGCUGCCUGCCACCCUUGUGCAGAAAAAAAAAAGAAAUGUCAACAGCGUUGCACAUGCAUUGAAUGCUGAAUGCAGGACCAGGCCCUGUAUUGAUGCAAGGAUGCUUAUUACGCUGAGGGAGUACUGAGGAUGUUAGCCAUUAAGUGAGGCAGACUAUGUCCAAUCCUGCAUC